GUAGGGAAUCUUCCGCAAUGGACGAAAGUCUGACGGAGCAACGCCGCGUGAGUGAUGAAGGCUUUCGGGUCGUAAAACUCUGUUGUUAGGGAAGAACAAGUGCUAGUUGAAUAAGCUGGCACCUUGACGGUACCUAACCAGAAAGCCACGGCUAACUACGUGCCAGCAGCCGCGGUAAUACGUAGGUGGCAAGCGUUAUCCGGAAUUAUUGGGCGUAAAGCGCGCGCAGGUGGUUUCUUAAGUCUGAUGUGAAAGCCCACGGCUCAACCGUGGAGGGUCAUUGGAAACUGGGAGACUUGAGUGCAGAAGAGGAAAGUGGAAUUCCAUGUGUAGCGGUGAAAUGCGUAGAGAUAUGGAGGAACACCAGUGGCGAAGGCGACUUUCUGGUCUGUAACUGACACUGAGGCGCGAAAGCGUGGGGAGCAAACAGGAUUAGAUACCCUAGUAGUCC
rnacentral:rRNA from 1 species